rfam:Euryarchaeota archaeon TMED164 5123, whole genome shotgun sequence.
GGGGGCGACCGGUUUCGACAUUUUAGAAAGAAAUUUUAAGUUGCAUGUAGAGCUUAGUAACUCUUAAAACUUCUAAACUGUAUUAAGUGCCGAUUAUGGCCAAAUGGCUGUAGCUUAAUUGCUAUAACCCAUCAUCAGUAGGCGUUUCUCAUCGCUGUCUGAAUGAUGUCAUAAAAAUGAGAUAGCUUAUUUUUUUGCUUCGACUAAAUAAGUGACCACUUAGAAGAUAGUCUUAUAUUCGUCUGUUCUUGAACCUGUGUAAGGCGAAACUUGAUCAAGUAACUAAACAUGUAGAUAUUUACCUUUUCUCUAUUAUGGACGGGAGUUCGAAUCUCCCCGCCUCCACGC